rnacentral:misc_RNA from 1 species
GGAAGUAAAAGCGUAACAAGGUUUCCGUAGGUGAACCUGCGGAAGGAUCAUUAAAGUUAUAGUCCCCCGGCCCUCUGGGCUGGGGUCUUCUAUACCACCCUUUGUUUAUUACACCUUUGUUGCUUUGGCAGGCCUGCCCUCGGGCUGCAGGCUCCGGCCGGCUCGCGUCUGCCAGAGGACCUAAACUCUGUUUGUAUAUGAAGUCUGAGUACUAUAUAAUAGUUAAAACUUUCAACAACGGAUCUCUUGGUUCUG